rnacentral:lncRNA from 1 species
CCGCCCGCCCUCCCGCGGAGGGGAGCGGCCCUACCCCCGCUUUCUGGGGCGUCAGUCCUAAGAGGGCGCCUACGUGCAGUGCGCCUGGACCCUCUCGUGACGCUCCCUGUAGAGUGGGGUGAAAGUCUGGGGAGAAUCGCCCUGCCACUGGCAAGAACAGAAUUUCCCGUUGCCUUCGUCUGCAUCUCCUUUUUUAAGGUCUUGAUUUCCCCCGUGCACCCCCGAGUCGGCUGCAGCACCGGCCCUUGGAGCUUGAAGAGCCCCGAACUGCCUCGCGCUCUGGUCGAUGCCCAGGGAGUGGGUUCCACCUUGCCAGAGACUAUUUUAAACUGCUACCCGCAAUUCACACGACAUCCGACACCGGCAGCCCAGCCCACGCAGUGCCCGCCAGAGGCGAAACAGAAUGGCUUCUGCUGCUCAGCUGGAAUUUGUCUGCCAAAUCAGCCUCGGAGCCUCACAUCUGCCACUAGAAAGAAGCAGCACCUUCCCCCCUCUCUCUGGCUGGAAAUUUUAAAAUGCCAGGGGAGGGCUCUGAUUGGUC